AGAGUUUGAUCAUGGCUCAGAUUGAACGCUGGCGGCAGGCUUAACACAUGCAAGUCGAGCGGUAACAGGGGUAGCUUGCUACCCGCUGACGAGCGGCGGACGGGUGAGUAAUGCUUAGGAAUCUGCCCAGUAGUGGGGGAUAGCCCGGGGAAACCCGGAUUAAUACCGCAUACGUCCUACGGGAGAAAGCAGGGGAUCUUCGGACCUUGCGCUAUUGGAUGAGCCUAAGUCGGAUUAGCUAGUUGGUGGGGUAAAGGCCUACCAAGGCGACGAUCCGUAGCUGGUCUGAGAGGAUGAUCAGCCACAUCGGGACUGAGACACGGCCCGAACUCCUACGGGAGGCAGCAGUGGGGAAUAUUGGACAAUGGGGGCAACCCUGAUCCAGCCAUGCCGCGUGUGUGAAGAAGGCUUUCGGGUUGUAAAGCACUUUCAGUAGGGAGGAAAACCUUAUGGCUAAUACCCAUGAGGCUUGACGUUACCUACAGAAGAAGCACCGGCUAACUCCGUGCCAGCAGCCGCGGUAAUACGGAGGGUGCAAGCGUUAAUCGGAAUUACUGGGCGUAAAGCGCGCGUAGGUGGUUUGGUAAGCGAGAUGUGAAAGCCCCGGGCUUAACCUGGGAACGGCAUUUCGAACUGUCAGACUAGAGUGUGGUAGAGGGUAGUGGAAUUUCCUGUGUAGCGGUGAAAUGCGUAGAUAUAGGAAGGAACACCAGUGGCGAAGGCGGCUACCUGGACCAACACUGACACUGAGGUGGGAAAGCGUGG
rnacentral:rRNA from 1 species